rnacentral:rRNA from 1 species
AUUGAACGCUAGCGGGAUGCCUUACACAUGCAAGUCGCACGGAGUGGCGAACGGGUGAGUAAUGUAUCGGAACGUGCCCAGUAGCGGGGGCUAACUACGCGAAAGCGUAGCUAAUACCGCAUACUAUUUGAGCGGCCGAUAUCGGAUUAGCUAGUUGGGGGGGUAACGGCUCACCAAGGAGACGAUCCGUAGCUGGUCUGAGAGGACGACCAGCAACACUGGGACUGAGACACGGCCCAGACGCCGACGGGAGGCAGCAGUGGGGAAUUUUGGACAAGGGGGGAAACCCUGAUACAGCCAUCCCGCGUGGGCGAUGAAGGCCUUAGGGUUGUAAAGCACUUUUGGCAGGAAAGCGGUACCUGCAGAAUAAGCACCGGCUAACGACGUGCCAGCCGCCGCGGUAAUAC